AUACUUACCUGGCAUAGGGGAUACCGUGAUCAUGCAGGCGGUUCCCCCCAGGGCGAAGCUGCUCCAUUGCACUGCGGAGUGGUUGACCCUUGCGAUUAUUUUUAUUUUUAUCAAUAAAAAAAUUAUAAUAGAAAAUGUAUGUAGACCCGAAUAAUUAUUUUCUUUUA
rfam:Bombyx mori DNA, contig: Bm_scaf1_contig245, strain: p50T/Dazao, build 2, whole genome shotgun sequence.